rnacentral:rRNA from 1 species
GAUCCUGGCUCAGGAUGAACGCUGGCGGCGUGCUUAACACAUGCAAGUCGAACGGAGCUUAAGAAGGAAGCUUGCUUUCAUUUAAGCUUAGUGGCGGACGGGUGAGUAACGCGUGAGCAACCUGCCCUUCAGUGGGGAAUAACACCGAGAAAUCGGUGCUAAUACCGCAUAAUGUCGGAGGACCGCAUGAUCUUCCGACCAAAGGAUUUAUUCGCUGAAGGAUGGGCUCGCGUCCGAUUAGGCAGUUGGCGGGGUAACGGCCCACCAAACCAACGAUCGGUAGCCGAACUGAGAGGUUGAUCGGCCACAUUGGGACUGAGACACGGCCCAGACUCCUACGGGAGGCAGCAGUGGGGAAUAUUGGGCAAUGGGCGAAAAAGCCUGACCCAGCAACGCCGCGUGAAGGAUGAAGGUCUUCGGAUUGUAAACUUCUUUGAUUGGGGAAGAAAAAAUGACCUACCCAAAGAACAAGUCACGGCUAACUACGUGCCAGCAGCGGC